rnacentral:rRNA from 1 species
GACGAACCGUGCGAAGGUUGUUCGGAAUCACUGGGCUUAAAGGGUGCGUAGGCGGCCGCGUAAGUCGGGUGUGAAAUCCCUCGGCUCAACCGAGGAAUUGCGCCCGAUACUGCGUGGCUCGAGGAAAGUAUGGGCGCGUGGAACUUCCGGUGGAACGGUGAAAUGUAUUGAUAUCGGAAGGAACGCCGGUGGCGUAAGCGGCGCGCUGGGCUUUUUCUGCCGCUGAGGCACGAAAGCUAGGGUAGCGAACGGG